GUGGGGAAUCUUGCGCAAUGGGCGAAAGCCUGACGCAGCCAUGCCGCGUGAAUGAUGAAGGUCUUAGGAUUGUAAAAUUCUUUCACCGGGGACGAUAAUGACGGUACCCGGAGAAGAAGCUCCGGCUAACUUCGUGCCAGCAGCCGCGGUAAUACGAAGGGGGCUAGCGUUGCUCGGAAUUACUGGGCGUAAAGGGCGCGUAGGCGGACAGCUUAGUCAGAGGUGAAAGCCCAGGGCUCAACCUUGGAAUUGCCUUUGAUACUGGCUGUCUUGAGUUUGGGAGAGGUGAGUGGAACUCCGAGUGUAGAGGUGAAAUUCGUAGAUAUUCGGAAGAACACCAGUGGCGAAGGCGACUCACUGGCCCAAUACUGACGCUGAGGCGCGAAAGCGUGGGGAACAAACAGGAUUAGAAACCCUGGUAGUCC
rnacentral:rRNA from 1 species